rnacentral:rRNA from 1 species
AUUGAACGCUGGCGGCAGGCCUAACACAUGCAAGUCGAGCGGAUGAAGGGAGCUUGCUCCUGGAUUCAGCGGCGGACGGGUGAGUAAUGCCUAGGAAUCUGCCUGGUAGUGGGGGAUAACGUCCGGAAACGGGCGCUAAUACCGCAUACGUCCUGAGGGAGAAAGUGGGGGAGCUUCGGACCUCACGCUAUCAGAUGAGCCUAGGUCGGAUUAGCUAGUUGGUGGGGUAAAGGCCUACCAAGGCGACGAUCCGUAACUGGUCUGAGAGGAUGAUCAGUCACACUGGAACUGAGACACGGUCCAGACUCCUACGGGAGGCAGCAGUGGGGAAUAUUGGACAAUGGGCGAAAGCCUGAUCCAGCCAUGCCGCGUGUGUGAAGAAGGUCUUCGGAUUGUAAAGCACUUUAAGUUGGGAGGAAGGGCAGUAAGUUAAUACCUUGCUGUUUUGACGUUACCAACAGAAUAAGCACCGGCUAACUUCGUG